UCGGAGAGAAGGAGGAGAAGGAGGAAGGAGGCGAGGGAAGCGAGGACGGAGCGGAACCUGCGCCCGGGCGGCCGGAGCCCCGACUAUGGCCGUGUCCUGCUACGCUCUCAACACUUUGGUGAUCAUGAAGAGCGGCGAGGAAGAGGAGGACGGGCGCAGCAAGAAGGCGGCGGCGGUGGUGGCGGCGGCGGGGCCCAGCGCGUACUCCCCGCUCAGCAGCAGCAGCACCGGCAGCAGCAGCACGGUCUCGCCCUCCGCCUUCCUCUUCCCCGCGGUGCCCGGCGAGGAGGAGGAGGAGGAGCAGGGGGAGAAGCCCUCGCCGCGGCGCCUGAGCAGCCCCCGCUGGGCCGCCCCGCACAGCCGCUCGCCCUCGCCCUCCCUGCCGCGGGAGCUGCAGCACGUGCAGGUCACGCAGAAGUGGGGGCUCUUCGAGGCGCACAUCCAGGCGCAGAGCUCGGCCGGGGCGCCCUUCGUGCUCAGGAGCCCCCGCCCGGAGAGGAGGAGGGCGAGGCAGGUGGGACGCCCAGCCCCCCCGCCCCAAAGAAGGACCAGGAGGAGGCCAAGAGCCCUGCCUUGAGGGUCUUCAGCGCGGACCAGGGAGGCCAAGCCCAAGCCAGGUCUCCAAGAGGGCCCAGAGACUUGGAGGGCGCCCAGAGGGGCCAGGCGGUGUCUGUCUUGAGGGUGGGCAUCCGGGCCCAGGAAGUGAAGUCCCCUGGAGAGCAACAGGGCGCCCAGAGGGUCCAAAGGACUCAGGCCGCAGCAGACGCGAGGCUUGUUGGUGAGAUCCAGGCAGGAGAAGGCGAAGCAAGGUCUCCCGGGGGGUCUAGGAGGUUAGAGGGUGCCCAGAGGAUCCAUGGGGCUCAAACACCACAGCCAGUGAGGGUCAGCACCAAAGACCAGGCAGGUGAAGGUGAGGUGAGGUCUCUGGAAGCCCAGAAAGCACCUACAUUGAGCUUCAACUCUGGGGUCCAGGCAGGGGAAGACAAGGUGAGGUUUUCAGGGCAACCCAGGGAGCCAGAGGGAGCCCAGAGGAUCCAUGUAGCACCUGCAAUAAGAAUCAGCACUGAGGACCAAGGAGGUGAAGGCAAGAUACGGUUGUCAAGGGAAUUCAGAGAACUGGAGGAAACCCAGAGGACCCAAGUAGUGAGAGUGAGCACCAAGGACCAGGCAGAAGGCAAAGCAAGGUCUGGAGAAUUCAGAGAAUCUAACAGUGCCCAAGAAACUCACAUAGCGCCUACAUUGAAGGUCUGCACUGGGAUCCAGGCACGUAAAGGUGGGGUGAGGUGUCUAGGCGUGCGACAGGGAGCCCAGGAG
rnacentral:lncRNA from 1 species